GGCUUGUUCGUUCAAUUCUAAACUUACUAAAGCGUUGUGCUGAUAAUGCGAAUGUCGUGGGUUCGAUCCCCUUACAGGCCA
rnacentral:tRNA from 1 species